GAUGAACGCUAGCUACAGGCUUAACACAUGCAAGUCGAGGGGCAGCAUGACGGAAGCUUGCUUCCGUUGAUGGCGACCGGCGCACGGGUGAGUAACGCGUAUCCAACCUGCCCUUGUCCAUCGGAUAACCCGUCGAAAGGCGGACUAACACGAUAUGCAGUUCACAGCAGGCAUCUAACGCGAACGAAAGGAGAAGGAGAAGGAUGGGGAUGCGUCUGAUUAGCUUGUUGGCGGGGUAACGGCCCACCAAGGCGAAGAUCAGUAGGGGUUCUGAGAGGAAGGUCCCCCACAUUGGAACUGAGACACGGUCCAAACUCCUACGGGAGGCAGCAGUGAGGAAUAUUGGUCAAUGGGCGAGAGCCUGAACCAGCCAAGUAGCGUGCAGGAAGACGGCCCUAUGGGUUGUAAACUGCUUUUAUACGGGGAUAAAGUGAGCCACGUGUGGCUUAUUGCAGGUACCGUAUGAAUAAGGACCGGCUAAUUCCGUGCCAGCCGCCGCCGUAAAAC
rnacentral:rRNA from 1 species